rnacentral:rRNA from 1 species
AUUGAACGCUGGCGGCAGGCCUAACACAUGCAAGUCGAACGGUAACAGGAAGAAGCUUGCUUCUUCGCUGACGAGUGGCGGACGGGUGAGUAAUGUCUGGGAAACUGCCUGAUGGAGGGGGAUAACUACUGGAAACGGUAGCUAAUACCGCAUAACGUCGCAAGACCAAAGAGGGGGACCUUCGGGCCUCUUGCCAUCGGAUGUGCCCAGAUGGGAUUAGCUAGUAGGUGGGGUAACGGCUCACCUAGGCGACGAUCCCUAGCUGGUCUGAGAGGAUGACCAGCCACACUGGAACUGAGACACGGUCCAGACUCCUACGGGAGGCAGCAGUGGGGAAUAUUGCACAAUGGGCGCAAGCCUGAUGCAGCCAUGCCGCGUGUAUGAAGAAGGCCUUCGGGUUGUAAAGUACUUUCAGCGGGGAGGAAGGGAGUAAAGUUAAUACCUUUGCUCAUUGACGUUACCCGCAGAAGAAGCACCGGCUAACUCCGUGCCAGCAGCCGCGGUAAUACGGAGGGUGCAAGCGUUAAUCGGAAUUACUGGGCGUAAAGCGCACGCAGGCGGUUUGUUAAGUCAGAUGUGAAAUCCCCGGGCUCAACCUGGGAACUGCAUCUGAUACUGGCAAGCUUGAGUCUCGUAGAGGGGGGUAGAAUUUCAGGUGUAGCGGUGAAAUGCGUAGAGAUCUGGAGGAAUACCGGUGGCGAAGGCGGCCCCCUGGACGAAGACUGACGCUCAGGUGCGAAAGCGUGGGGAGCAAACAGGAUUAAAUACCCUGGUAGUCCACGCCGUAAACGAUGUCGACUUGGAGGUUGUGCCCUUGAGGCGUGGCUUCCGGAGCUAACGCGUUAAGUCGACCGCCUGGGGAGUACGGCCGCAAGGUUAAAACUCAAAUGAAUUGACGGGGGCCCGCACAAGCGGUGGAGCAUGUGGCUUAAUUCGAUGCAACGCGAAGAACCUUACCUGGUCUUGACAUCCACGGAAGUUUUCAGAGAUGAGAAUGUGCCUUCGGGAACCGUGAGACAGGUGCUGCAUGGCUGUCGUCAGCUCGUGUUGUGAAAUGUUGGGUUAAGUCCCGCAACGAACGCAACCCUUAUCCUUUGUUGCCAGCGGUCCGGCCGGGAACUCAAAGGAGACUGCCAGUGAUAAACUGGAGGAAGGUGGGGAUGACGUCAAGUCAUCAUGGCCCUUACGACCAGGGCUACACACGUGCUACAAUGGCGCAUACAAAGAGAAGCGACCUCGCGAGAGCAAGCGGACCUCAUAAAGUGCGUCGUAGUCCGGAUUGGAGUCUGCAACUCGACUUCAUGAAGUCGGAAUCGCUAGUAAUCGUGGAUCAGAAUGCCACGGUGAAUACGUUCCCGGGCCUUGUACACACCGCCCGUCACACCAUGGGAGUGGGUUACAAAAGAAGUAGGUAGCUUAACCUUCGGGAGGGCGCUUACCACUUUGUGAUUCAUGACUGGGGUGAAGUCG